rnacentral:tRNA from 1 species
GCUCCUGUAGCACAACUGGUUAGUGCACAGUACUUAUAAAGCACUAUGGUGUGGAGUGAUGCUGGGGUUGUGAGUUCAAGUCUCACCUGGAGCA